rnacentral:lncRNA from 1 species
GCAAUUUUAGUCUUCUUGGAAUUUGAAACUACCAAGAUAGUGUGAUUAUUGGAGAUAAGAUUGCUGCCUUUGCUUCCAUGACCUCCCGUGUGAGCUGAAUAUAAAAUCGACUCCAUCAUCUAGAACACCAAGUGAUGACUGCUCAAGACACAGUGGAGCAUCUAUGGGGCUGAUGUCAACAACACCAGGUGGCCUGAAGACCAUUUAACUCCCCCUGUACUCAAGUCUUGUUCUAGACACUCACCUCAUGAUCCGUUAUGAUCAAUCCCCAGCCUCCAGUAGCUGGAGGGAGCCUGCUCAGCUACAGUGUUCCUCGAAGGAGAUCUGUUUGGAAAGCCUGGUGCCUACAGAAUACAUCUGUCACUCUACCAAUCAAAUCAAUACUCAGCAUGCAUGACAUGAAUGAUCUGAUUCCCUGCAAUGUCAGUUUAUCACCUGAUUUGUUCUGAAGCUCAAGCCCAUCGCUUGAGACAUUUGAAUUUAAUCCCUGCAGGUUUUUUCUGGAUACACUGAGGAAAUCCUUUGGAAUUUAUUCUUAGUUAUCAAGACCCCACAUUGUGACCAUAUGAUACUGUUUGAUACCAGGAAUGUAAUUCUUCUCCAAUGAGCCAAGUAUUGACUGCAUGCCUAGCCUAAAUCAAGCAACAUAGUUAUUCAGUUUUCUUCAUUUGCUUCUUAGUCCAUCUCAGCAGUAUGUGCUUAGCUGAGUGGGCAAACUAUGAUCAGGCCAAGAAAGAGGACUGGAUGAAUUCUCCUGAUUCUGCUUGGCCUGAAGAAACUGUCCCUGGCCAAUUUCUCAACAUCAAAAGUUUUAGAAUGAAUAUAUCACAUAAAGGAAGAAAUAAAAAUAUUGGCAAACUGGGGGUUUGGCAUCUGUUGCAGAUGAUGUUAUGUUAACUUUGGCUAAUUACAUUCAUGGUGCUUUAUGAGCAGUUGUCUCUGUUGCAGCUUCCUAACACAUUCUUACCGGAACCCUAACUGGUGCUCAUGGAGUCUAUAAAAUGAAGGAGAAUAAGCUGUCUUCCCAGCUAAGGGACACAGGAUGCCAAGUGCAGGACUAAUCUGUAGCAGAGGCCACAUCCCAAGGAUGAGUGCACUGGGACUGAAGGGAUUCUCUAUCCUCAUGAGCUUGGUCCUCUUCUUGCUGCAUUCUCUCUGUAUCUAAUGCCCUAGAAAUGACAGGAAUUCUUGGAAUUCCUCAGCCCAGGCAAGAUGAGUGGGGCAUGACACGAUAGACUGGAAACAGAGGAGGCCAUGACCUGCAGAUAAGAGACCCAUGAGGGGAAUGUAACUUCAGAGAAGAGCUCAUAAGAAAACAAGUUCAAAAUAUGUUCUCCACAGUACUGUUUUUAAGGAAAAACUCAAAGAAGCAAGAAGUACAGAAGGGUACAUGAGAACCAGAGAUUCCAUGGUGGGAACCAUGAUGGAAUAUUGUACAGCUAUAAAAAAAACAAAUUUAUCAGAUGCAAUGCAGAAAUGUUCAUAUAGAAGAGUAUAGAGUCACAAUAAUCAGUUAACAUCUGUCUAUGUGUUCAAAUAUUAAACAAAAUGGUAUGAGAUCCCUCACAACCCGAGAGAUCAAAUUACUAAUGGACUUACCAUGUUUUAAAUAGACUGCAUUUCUUUAACACGGACAUCCCUUCAGCCUCCUGUACUGGCCCCAUACUUCUGAGCCUCCUCCUCAAAAGAGUCGAUGUGUUUCCCAAGGUUCUCACUCUGUCUGUUCAUGUCUCACACACAACCCCCUCCUUUCUGUGUUUCAGCCACACAGCCCUUUCGGAUCCUCAGAACCUCCUAGGUCUUGAGGUCUAUGCACUCCCUACUGCCUGGAGGUUCCUGGCCUCAAGUCUAUGAAUGUCACAGUUUCAUGGUCACAUGGUUCUACCUUUAUCUUCACACCUGGCAGCUUGCUUUGUUAGACUCAGACCCCUUGAAAGCUUUGUGAUUAUAUGUGAAUCAUGGUUUCUCCUAAACGGAUGGGAAGCUUCAUGAGGAAUGUGAUGCUUAGCUUUAUCUGCCAACUCGAUUGGAGUGAAAAGUCUUGCCUCCCUCGGACAGGAAAAUUCUUCUUCUCUGACUGCCUUUGGGCCAGGACACUGGCUUCUUUCCAUCUCAAACCAAACCCAGCUGACUCGAAGCUUGCUGACUUCCCGACGGUUACCCCAGUCUUCUGGGCUCUCUCAUACUUACAAUUCAAUCUGCAAAUUUGGCCAUUUUCUCUGAUUCCUUUCAUUGAAACUUUCUAGAGAAAAAUACAUUCUUUUGUUUGUGUUUUUCAAGAAGACCUGCCUAAUAUAAGAAAUACUAUCUGGACUGCUUGCAACCAUAUGCCAACAUAGUGAUUGCUCAAGCUGAUUGUAUAAUAAGAUUUUAUUGAAUAAAUGUAUCAACAGAUAGAUAAGAAUGGGAAUACAAUUCAGUGAUAAUAAUUUUACAUACUAUAUGUAGCAUAUGUAGGUUAUUGAACAUUUUAUAAUCAUUUAGUGUGGCCACAUCUUUUCAGAGACAUUUCAAUUAUAAUAAGCAGGUUUUUUUUUCUCAUUCUUGGACCUCUAUGAGGUUGGCAUUAUUCCAACUUCAAAACUGAAUAAAGUUAAUGAAUCUGUCCAUGCUCACACAGAACAAAGUCUGGGAUGAAGACAAGCAAGGUUGAACUACGUGGACAGCACAAUGGCCACUAUAAGCUGCACUGGAGAGUGCUGGAGGGCUUGCCAGGGCAGAAACUAGACUUUGCUUUAUCUUCUUGCUGCUCAGCAAUGGUGAGAGGUGAUGGUGCUCCAGUCUGGGAAGGAGAUGCUGGUGGGGCUGCAAUAGUGAGGAAACGGUUGAUGAAGUUUAGACGUGACUCUUGGCUCAUUUUUUCAUAUGCAGUCUACAGUUGUUAUUGCCUCAUUUUCAAGGGUAUUCUGUUGAUCAUAUAGUAGUCAUAUCAAACUCUUAAUUAAUAGAGUCACAUUAAGUGACUUCAUAGUCACCAGGACUACUUGUAACACAACAGAAUGGCUAGAACAUAAGUUGUGCUUCAAGGUGUGGUCAGAAAAGCCAAAAAGACACAGAGACGUCAAGGAGAGUCUACAGUAUAUACUAAUAUGGCUGCCACUCUCACGAGCUCUGACCAACUGAAUAUUCACAAAAGUAUAUACUCAAAGGACAGACGCGAUAGGGGAAAGAAUACUAUAUAAAAUAGCCAGGAAGCAAAUGGUUUACUCUCAACCUCAAUACAGAUGAUCUUUCUCUGUACCACACACAUGUACUGCACACUUCAUCAUUUCAUCUUCCACAGCCUGGAGAGGCCUUCAUCUUCUUCUUAGCCCCUGUCAUCAACAGCUAUCUCUAGAGAGCCCGAUGACAGCUCUAUCUACUGGGGGGAAACCACAUCCUCAUUUUUUUCUCUUCAGAGCAUCCUCAGCCUAUGACAUAUACCACUGUCUAAUAAGAUGGGUUUCCCAGGCCAGCAUGAUGGGGACCAGUUAUCUCUUCCCUGACAGCAGCUGGAAUUCUAGCAGCUGCCUCUAGGCAAAUGGCAUGCAGUAGCAGAUGACAAGCCCAGUAGUAAGAUUUAUCAAAUACUGCCUACAUAAUAAUAAUAAUAAUAAUAAUAAUAAUAAUAAUAAUAAUAAUAAAUUUAGUUGAAUGCUCAUUUCUUCUCUUGUGAUCUUGUAUUAUUAAAUUGCUAAGUUUUAUAUUAUGCAUUUGUAUUGCUAAAGUAAUAACAGUUAAUUACUCGAGAGGCAUAACUCUAAUAAUGAAAACAAAUUAGAAAAAUUUAGUAAUGAGUUAUCAUUUUUAUACUCUGUCUAUGUUCCAUUUUCUAUCUCUAUACCAAUAAGCAGAACAUAGUCAAGAUGCUGAGAGAGACUUAACCAGUCAUGGUGUAGUUGGAAAUCAGGAAAUGAAGUCUUUUGUCAAUGAUGCUAUCACUAACCAUGUGGACUUAAAGUCUCCUUGCCUUGCUGGGAUUCAGUUUCCUGUCUGUAAGCAAGAAAAGAAUGGUUUACAGCCCGGCAAUGGUGGCACUUGGGAGGCAGAGGCAGGUGGACCUCUGUGAGUUCAAGGCCAGCCUGGUCUACAGAGAAAGUUCCAGGAAGGCUCCAAAGCUACAGAGAAACCCUGUACUGAAAAACAAAAAACAAGAAUGAUUCAGACUUGCAGGUGGAGAAGGCUUCUUCUUUCUACCAAGUGCCCCUGUGCUGUUUGAUCUCUCUGCCUCGUUAGCAUCGAUUCCAGUUCUUGUUUGAAGUUAUAAUUGGUUUUGUUUUUCUAAGCUCCAUGGUGUUCUCAUCCUCCAGUUCUCAACUUGUCACCCCUCAGAGAAGGUUCUACACACGUCUCCUGUUUAAAAGUUAAAAUAGAUGUAGAUGAUUAUAUAUGCAGAUGUAUAUGUAUACUUUCUACUGUCUGAAAGGUAAAGGAGAUGUAGAUGAUUAUAUAUGCAGAUGUAUAUGUAUACCUUUUACUGUUU